rnacentral:rRNA from 1 species
GACGAACCGUGCGAACGUUAUUCGGAUUCACUGGGCUUAAAGAGCGCGCAGGCGGUCGUUCAAGUCGAGUGUGAAAGCCCCCCGGCUCAACUGGGGAGGGUCAUUCGAUACUGAUCGACUCGAAGGCAGGAGAGGGAAGUGGAAUUCCCGGUGUAGUGGUGAAAUGCGCAGAUAUCAGGAGGAACACCGGUGGCGAAGGCGGCAUCCUGGACCGACAUUGACGCUGAGGCGCGAAAGCCAGGGGAGCAAACGGG